rnacentral:tRNA from 1 species
AGCUUUAUAUUCAAUAAUGAUAUAAAAUUGCAAAUUUUAUGGUAUAAUAUAAUUAUUAAGGCUU